GCCGGUAUAGCUCAGCAGGUAGAGCAACUGAUUUGUAAUCAGUAGGUCCCGGGUUCGAUUCCUGGUGCCGGCACCA
rnacentral:tRNA from 1 species